rnacentral:rRNA from 1 species
UGGGGAAUAUUGCACAAUGGGCGCAAGCCUGAUGCAGCCAUGCCGCGUGUGUGAAGAAGGCCUUCGGGUUGUAAAGCACUUUCAGCGGGGAGGAAGGCGGUGAGGUUAAUAACCUCAUCGAUUGACGUUACCCGCAGAAGAAGCACCGGCUAACUCCGUGCCAGCAGCCGCGGUAAUACGGAGGGAGCAAGCGUUAAUCGGAAUUACUGGGCGUAAAGCGCACGCAGGCGGUCUGUCAAGUCGGAUGUGAAAUCCCCGGGCUCAACCUGGGAACUGCAUUCGAAACUGGCAGGCUAGAGUCUUGUAGAGGGGGGUAGAAUUCCAGGUGUAGCGGUGAAAUGCGUAGAGAUCUGGAGGAAUACCGGUGGCGAAGGCGGCCCCCUGGACAAAGACUGACGCUCAGGUGCGAAAGCGUGGGGAGCAAACAGG